UGACAUAUUCUCUCACACAUCUCCUGAUUUUUCUUGCAUAAAAGCGCACACAAACUCAUAAUAAGGCAUUCUUGAAUCUCUGCAUUUCUUCAGAAAAAGAACACUUUUCAUUCUACAAAAAAGCUCUCGAGGAAAAACUGAAAUUGUUUUCAAAUAUCAAUACAUUUGGUUGGUAUUUUCUGGGAUUUCAAAGGGGUCUCAAGUUACCAGAACUGUUAUUUUAUUGGUUGAAUCUGUUGUCUCUGCUUUGCUGAAUUAAAUAUCAUCUUUUCUUCCUUGAUUGAUUCAUUUCAAGGUAUUUCUUAACCUUUGAUUUGUAGCUUUGUGGAAUGAUAAAAUCAUGUCUAUUAUAUAAAGAUUGUUGUUGAUCUAAGGUUAUUUAUGCCUCUCUGCUGAAGUUCAAUGAGCUGAUAUGCUUGACCUUGUUAUAAUCUGUUGGUUCGAACAAAAUUUAAUUUGAUAAAAAUAUUAUGUUCUAUUUGUGAAUCAUGCCUGCUUUGUCUAAUGGUCGAAGAGGUUUUAGUCAUUGCUUGGCAAUUAUACAGGUUCGAAGUUGAAAAGUCUUCAACCAGUUAAUACCAUGGUUACUCUAGUUUAACUUGUGUAACUGUUGUUAAAAUGAAAGUAGCUAGCAUUGCAAAUUUGGAAAUCAGGAGUUAAUCCUGCGACUAGUGUGUUAACAGACUUUGCUUAGCUUGAAUUCGAUUCGCUAAUUCCUUUACUAACACAUGUAGCUUAUUUGAUAUGAGUUGUUAGUUUUCGAGUUUGUUGCUGUAAAAUCCAGUUUUGUGUUCUUAGGAUAAGAACCUCGUGAUCAUUGUGGGCUUGGAAUUUUCAGAGAUUGAAAUGAAAGAGUAAGCUGUUGAGCAUUGGGUGUAUGAGUAGAAUUCACUGCUUAGAAUUCAUUUGUUGCUAAAAAUCUGUAAAUGAUUUCAGAAGAGUUAGUCCUGGGACAAUUGUUCAUUAAAAUAAGAUCUCUGUUAUGC
rnacentral:lncRNA from 1 species